rnacentral:rRNA from 1 species
UACGAAGGGGGCUAGCGUUGCUCGGAAUGACUGGGCGUAAAGGGCGCGUAGGCGGCUUACGCAGUCAGGCGUGAAAUUCCUGGGCUCAACCUGGGGACUGCGCUUGAGACGCGUGGGCUUGAGUGGGGAAGAGGGUCGUGGAAUUCCCAGUGUAGAGGUGAAAUUCGUAGAUAUUGGGAAGAACACCGGUGGCGAAGGCGGCGACCUGGUCCUUGACUGACGCUGAGGCGCGAAAGCGUGGGGAGCAAACAG